rnacentral:snRNA from 1 species
GUGCUCUCUUUGGCGGCACAAAUGCUAAACUGGAAUGACACAGAGAAGAUUAACAUGGUCCCUGAGCAAGGAGGACAUGCAAAUGUGUGAAAUGCUCCAUAUUUUA